AUUGAACGCUGGUGGCAGGCCUAACACAUGCAAGUCGAACGAGUGGCGGACGGGUGAGUAAUGUCUGGGAAACUGCCUGCUGGAGGGGGAUAACUACUGGAAACGGUAGCUAAUACCGCAUACCAUCGGAUGUUCCCAGAUGGGCUUAGCUAGUAGGUGGGGUAAAGGCUCACCUAGGCGACGAUCCCUAGCUGGUCUGCGAGGAUGACCAGCCAAACGGGAACUGAGACACGGUCCAGACGCCUACGGGAGGCAGCAGUGGGGAAUGUUGCAGAAUGGGCGCAAGCCUGAUGCAGCCAUGCCGGGUGUAUGAAGAAGGCCUUCGGGUUGUAAAGUACUUUCAGCGGGGAGGCGUUACCCGCAGAAGAAGCACCGGCUAACUCCGUGCCAGCCGCCGCGGUAAUUC
rnacentral:rRNA from 1 species